rnacentral:piRNA from 1 species
UUCAAAACUUGGUGCAGAAUUUAGC